AGCAGGGCAAACUGUGAGGUGCUGAUGGUUGCAGGAGUGAGAGUGAAGGGCCUUUUCCCUCCGCCUUGCAACCCCUCCUCCCACUCUGCUGAGUGUACCGCCCUUGACUUCAUGGGGGACACUUCACUCAGCCAGUAUAUACUCAGGCUGUGGACACCAGCAUGUAUCCGUGCAUCCCCCAUUAGGACAUGUGGCCCAUCUAGGAUGACUGGCAGCUAAGGAACAGGAAGUAUGCCCCUCUGGACACUGGGUUUUAGCCCGGGUGUUGGGACUGGUCUUGCAGGGGAGAGGAGAGGGCAGGAGAGAGGGCUUACCUGGAGUCACCCUUUGGGUGGGUCUGGGGGUUUCAUUUCCUUUUCCUACAGUGAGUGUGUACACGCCGGCUCCAGACCUCAUCCAGGUGUUCUCAUUAGACGCCGAGUCCAGAAGAAGUAAAGUGCCGGUGCCAAGGAGGAUGGCCGCGCCUUGCAGACAUUGAGGAGCGAGCAGCAGUGACUGACCAGGUAGUCCGUCCUCUGUGGACCCUCCCAGGUGUGAUUCGGAGAACGAAGGAAAUGCGAACAACAGCAGAGAUUCAAGUCGCUCCUGAGCAUUCUGCCCUCUUGUUCACAUACCCCAGUAUGAUGUGAUCAAAGUCCCAGAAAGGAUGCUCAUAAGUUAUCCAAACAUUUGUAAAAUGCAGACAUUGUUUCUGCCUGAGAACAGCGAGCCCAUUGAAUGAGGCAGAGUAGCCUCUGGCCCACUUUUCCUCUCCUUUUAAACUCUAAGUUCUCUUCUUCCAGGAAGCCUUCCUGUGAUGUGGAGGUUCCAGAUAACCCCUCACACUCACAGAUGUCCACUU
ensembl:lncRNA